GGAGUUGUGGCUCAGUGGUAGAGUACUUGCCUCGUACAUGAGGGGCCCUGGGUUCAAUCCUCAGCACCA
rnacentral:tRNA from 1 species